AAACCUAAAGGCGUAAUGAAAGUGAAGGUUCUCCUAGUGCGAGAACCUAGGGAGGACGGGCGGUUUUCACCCUUAAAAGUGGCCGUCCGGCACUCCCGGGGCGUCUCGUUCUCAUCGCGAGAAGAGGCGCACCAAGAGCGUACACGCUGGGACCCGAAAGAUGGUGAACUAUGCCUGGUCAGGACGAAGUCAGGGGAAACCCUGAUGGAGGUCCGUAGCGAUUCUGACGUGCAAAUCGAUCGUCGGAACUGGGUAUAGGGGCGAAAGACUAAUCGAACCAUCUAGUAGCUGGUUCCCUCCGAAGUUUCCCUCAGGAUAGCUGGCGCUCGUCGCGUACGAGUCUCAUCUGGUAAAGCGAAUGAUUAGAGGCAUUGGGGUCGAAACGACCUCAACCUAUUCUCAAACUUUAAAUGGGUGAGAUCUCCGGCUUGCUCGAACUUAAAUACACGUGUCGUCGUCGUCGUCGCCGYCGUCUUUUCUUUCUUGGKCGG
rnacentral:rRNA from 1 species